rnacentral:rRNA from 1 species
AUGCACGCAAGUGUGAUAAGGGAAUCCCAAGUGCUUAUGCUUAGCAUAGGCUUUUGCCAAGAGUAAAUAUCCUGGCGAAUAAGUGAUGGGUAAGACUGGUGCCAGCAGCCGCGGUAAAA